AAUGUAAGUCUUAGAAAUCUGGUGUGUAUUUUAUUUACACUUAUGGCACAUCUCACUUCGGAGUAGCCAUAUCUCAAGCGCUCGGUAGCCAUAUGUGGCUAGUGAGUAAAGUAUUGGAUGGUGCAGUUGGGAGCGUCAGUUUCCUUUUCUGUGAAAUGAGGAUAAAUCACUGGAAGCUCGUGUCCAUCCAGGAAGACAGAGUGAGGCUCCGUCUAAAAUAAAUAAAUAAAUAAAUAAAUAAAUAAAUAAAUAAAUAAAUAAAUAAAGUCUGUUGUAUAUACAGGGCUUUGCAGUUUGCAGUCAUUAAGAGAAAUUUAUUUGUCAAUGUGGACAUUAAAACACAAAUUCAAUGAAAAGUAUUACCAAAUAAUAGAUAGUAAUUUAUUUGUUUGUUGUCAUUGUGUCUUAAUCAUUGGGUACCAAAAAAUGGAAGUCCGAGGGCGGGUGGUCCUGUCAAUCUUUUUUUUUUUUUUUUUUUUUGAGACAGGGUCUCUCUGUGUCACCCAGACUGGAAUACAGUGGCAUGACCUUGGCUUACUGCAGCCUCCUGGGCUCAAGUGAUCCUCUCACCUCAGCCUCCUGAGUAGUUGGGACUACAGGUGCGUGCCAUUAUGCUCGGCUAAUUUUUUAAAUUUUUUAUAGAGACAGGUCCUCACUAUGUUGCUCAGGCUGGUCUCGAACUCCUGGGCUCAAGUGAGCCUCCUGCCUCUGCCUCCCAAAUUGUUGAGAUUACAGGCGUGUGCCACUGCACCCGGUUGGUCUUGUCAAAUAUUUUGACAUUAAAAAGGGACCCACAUUUAAAAACCUAACUAUUAAUGGUCAGAGUUCUUUCCAACCUUGAGCCUCUUUGAUUUUUUUUUUUUGAGGCGGAGUUUCACUCUUGUUUUCCCAGGCAGGAGUGCAAUGGCGCAAUCUCAGCUCACGGCAACCUCUGCCUCCCCAGUUCUAGCAACUCUCCUGCCUCAGGCUCCCCAGUAGCUGGGAUUACAGGCACCCACCACCACACCUGGCUAAUUUUUUAUUUUUACUAGAGAUGGGGUUUCAUCGGGUUAGUCAAGAUGGUCUCGAACUCCUAAACUCAGGUGAUCUGCCUGCCUGCCUUGCCUCCCAAAGUGCUGGCAUUACAGGCAUGAGCCACUGCGCCCAGCCGCCUCUUUGAUUUCUUAAUCAAGUAUGUCAGGAGAAAUAGGGAGCUCAGUGUGUUGUUUUCUAUGGGCCAAACUGCUCUGUACUUUAGGAACACAAGCCUUUAGGCUGGGCGCAGUGGCUCAUGCCUGUAAUUUCAGCACUUUGGGAGACCGAGGCAGGCUGAUCAUUUGAGGUCAGAUGUUCGAGACCAGCCUUGUCAACAUGGUGUAACCCCAUCCCUACCAGAAAUAAAAAAAUGAGCUGGGUGUGCUGGCACGUGCCUGUAGUCCCAGCUACUUAGGAGGUUGAGACAGGAGAAUCGCUUGAACCCUGGAGGAGGAGAUUGCAGUGAGCCGAGAUCGCACCACUGCAUUCCAGCCUGGGUGACAGAGUGAGGCUCCGUCUCAAAAAAAGAAAAGAAAAGAAACAUAGGCCUUUAUGUACAUGCAUACAUAUAUGCAUAAAUGUCUGUGUGAAAGAGGUUAUUGUUCCCAGCUUAUAGACUGAGAAAACUGAAGCGUAGAGGGAGUAACUUACUUUCCAGGACUGCUGAGUAGAGGUGCUAGGAUUUGAAUUUAGGAAAAAUUGACUUCAAAACUCAUUCUCCAUACAGGAUAUCACCAUUGCAAACAGGUUAGGAAUCAUUAACUCUAGCAAUAAUGAAUUGAAAGCCUUUUCCUGUUGAUGGUCGUUUCUAGUUAUAGCCUGUCUAAAAUAGCCACUAGUCUGUGUUCUUAUAUUUUAAUAGUAGCUUUGUUUACUUAUUUACUAGUGACUUCUUCAGGGUCCUCUUAUUUUCUUUCCAGCCAGUUUUAAGUUAACAUGGAGAAAAAGGAAAAGCACUAUAUUGGGAUUUAGAAGCCUUGUGGUCUUGCUCACCAUAGGCAAGUUGCUUAAACUCACUGGCCUCAGAUUUCCCUAUUCUAUUAAUAUAAAGAGAGAGAGAGACUAGAUUAUCUCUUUCUCCUAGCUCAAAUUACUAAGUCUUUCCUGUUGUUUGAUAUCUAGGAAACAGUACUUCAUGCCCCAUUUGGAAGAUCAUUUUCUGAAGUUAGCCAAGCUCCUAAGUUCUAGAUGAAGAAUUCUUGGUUUAUUACAAUGUUUAGAAGGUUUCCUUUGACUUUUUCCAUUUUCUCAUUAGAAUUGGACAUCUUUUUUCAUAAAAGUACCUUUUACGAAUUAUCCCCUUUCUUAGCCAGGGAACUUGGAAUGUUGAGCUAUAUUUAGACACACACACAUGCACACAUUUACACUUUUAUAUUCUGAUACAAAUGCGCUCUUCACAUUAAUACUUGCAUUAUGUGUUUUCAUAAUUUAUCAUAAUGAUACCAUUAUUGCUCAUUAUAGAAGUUCUCUUUUUUCCCCACUGCCCCCAAGCCUAAUUGAGGUCGAGAUAGCCCAUAAAUGUGAUAAUAUAGAUUGCGUGCUCAGAGGAAAUGGGGUUGCUUUCAUAGUGGAGUUUUAAUUUAGGAUUCGUUCUGGUGAUGUAGCCUCUUCCUAUGGUACAUUACUUUGAGCUCAAUAUAACUGCAUGUUCCCACAGCCCCUCAUUAUAGCUACAGCUUCUCACUGCUUUUUAAUUAAAAAAAAAGAGGGAAAAAUGAAACCCAAAGCUUAGGUUGGAUAUUGUCUGGGUACGCAGGGAGUAUCCUAGGCAGAUUGCUUAUUUAAUUUUUUUAACUCCUUCAAAGCUUUCAUGAAGAUGUCUUGAUUUCUGUUUUCAGGGGCA
rnacentral:lncRNA from 10 species